UGGGGGGACCAUCCUCCAAGGCUAAAUACUCCUGACUGACCGAUAGUGAACCAGUACCGUGAGGGAAAGGCGAAAAGAACCCCGGCGAGGGGAGUGAAAAAGAACCUGAAACCGUGUACGUACAAGCAGUGGGAGCACGCUUAGGCGUGUGACUGCGUACCUUUUGUAUAAUGGGUCAGCGACUUAUAUUCUGUAGCAAGGUUAACCGAAUAGGGGAGCCGAAGGGAAACCGAGUCUUAACUGGGCGUUAAGUUGCAGGGUAUAGACCCGAAACCCGGUGAUCUAGCCAUGGGCAGGUUGAAGGUUGGGUAACACUAACUGGAGGACCGAACCGACUAAUGUUGAAAAAUUAGCGGAUGACUUGUGGCUGGGGGUGAAAGGCCAAUCAAACCGGGAGAUAGCUGGUUCUCCCCGAAAGCUAUUUAGGUAGCGCCUCGUGAAUUCAUCUCCGGGGGUAGAGCACUGUUUCGGCAAGGGGGUCAUCCCGACUUACCAACCCGAUGCAAACUGCGAAUACCGGAGAAUGUUAUCACGGGAGACACACGGCGGGUGCUAACGUCCGUCGUGAAGAGGGAAACAACCCAGACCGCCAGCUAAGGUCCCAAAGUCAUGGUUAAGUGGGAAACGAUGUGGGAAGGCCCAGACAGCCAGGAUGUUGGCUUAGAAGCAGCCAUCAUUUAAAGAAAGCGUAAUAGCUCACUGGUCGAGUCGGCCUGCGCGGAAGAUGUAACGGGGCUAAACCAUGCACCGAAGCUGCGGCAGCGACACUAUGUGUUG
rnacentral:rRNA from 1 species